rnacentral:rRNA from 1 species
GAUUAUGGCUCAGGAUGAACGCUAGCUACAGGCUUAACACAUGCAAGUCGAGGGGUAACGCGGCGGGAGCUGCUCUGCCGGCGACGACCGGCGCACGGGUGAGUAACGCGUAUCCAACCUGCCCCCGGGUCCGGGAUAACCUUCCGAAAGGGAGCCUAAUACCGGAUGUCGUGCGAUGAUGGCAUCAGAGUUGCACGAAAGGUUUCCGCCCGGGAUGGGGAUGCGUAGGAUUAGGCAGGCGGCGGGCAACGGCCCACCGCGCCGACGAUCCUUAGGGGUUCUGAGAGGAAGGUCCCCCACACUGGUACUGAGACACGGACCAGACUCCUACGGGAGGCAGCAGUGAGGAAUAUUGGUCAAUGGGCGCAAGCCUGAACCAGCCAAGUAGCGUGCCAGGAUGACGGCCCUACGGGUUGUAAACUGCUUUUAUGCGGGGAUAAAGUUCGGCACGUGUGCCGUUUUGCAGGUACCGCAUGAAUAAGGACCGGCUAAUUCCGUGCCAGCAGCAGC